rnacentral:lncRNA from 1 species
GGCACGCCGGGUACAAGCGUUUCCCUAUAAAAAGCAGCGUUGCACCAUGCUAAUCCUGACUAAGCUCACGCAAACACAACUACACAACAUCUCCUGAGUACUAUAGUGAUUUUAUAAGAACUCCCGGUUAGCAAUGGCGAAGCGCCUCGCCGUCGCGCUCCUGCUGGUGCUCCUGCUCGCGUCCAGCGACGCGGGAGAGCUGAAUGGGAAGCACGGUGCUGGUAGUGCCGUCGGCGAGAUGAAGGCUCCGUCGCUCCUAGCCGGCGGGUCACCGGCUCUCGACGGCGGCCUCCCGGGGGCAGUGGACGGCCUCGCGGGGGGCCUCGGGUUGCCAGGGGCACCACCGAUUGUCGGGGUACUGAUUCCUGGGUCCCUCCCGUUCGAAAAUCCAGCACCAACAAGUCUCCAUGAUCAUCUAUGGUUCAUGUGCUAGCUUACAUACAAACUGAAGCUCAACUAGUUGUGGCUUUAGAUCUGCAGCUGUAGCACGUACUCCCUCCGUUUUUAUUUAGUUCGCAUAUUAGUUUUGGUCAAAGUCAAGCUUUACAAACUUUGACCAAGUUUAUAAACAAAAAUAUUAAGAUAUACAAUAACAAAUCAACAACAUUAGAUUUAUUAUUGAAUGUAUUUUCACAUCGUAUAGAUUGAUUUAUUAUGAUAAAUGUCUAUAUUGUUUUUUAUAAAUUUGAUCAAACUUUAUGAAGUUUGACUUCAGUCAACUCUAAUAUGCAUGCAGAGUAAAUAAAAACGGAGGGAGUACCGGCCAGAAGAAAAUCACCGGCGUUUCGCUCAAGCGUCUGUACCAACUACUAUCUUUGUCGUGUGUAUUUCCUUUAACUACCAUCUUUGUCGUGUGUAUUUCCUUUGAGUUACACUACUAUGGUGUGUGUUUCCUUUCAGUCCAGGAAAGUAUGUCUUCCCUACUUCGCGUCUUCCUUGAUGUGCUACAUGUAUCACCAACGGAAUAAAUAAAGGAUUUGUCAUUGUGCAUUUAUAUCGCCUUCUUGGAUAGACAUAUCAACAGGUUGCAUCAUCAACACUGAUCAACAAAUCA